rnacentral:rRNA from 1 species
AGAGUUUGAUCAUGGCUACAGGAUGAACGCUAGCGACAGGCUUAACACAUGCAAGUCGAGGGCAGCACGGGAGUAGCAAUACAACUGGUGGCGACCGGCGCACGGGUGAGUAACGCGUAUGCAACCUACCUAGUCAGAGGGGAAUAACCCGGCGAAAGUCGGACUAAUACCGCAUAAACAGGGGCACCGCAUGGUGAUAUUUGUUAAAGAAAUUCGCUGAUAGAUGGGGCAUGCGUUCCAUUAGGUAGUUGGUGAGGUAACGGCUCACCAAGCCGACGAUGGAUAGGGGAACUGAGACGGUUGGUCCCCCCACACUGGUACUGAGACACGGACCAGACUCCUACGGGAGGCAGCAGUGAGGAAUAUUGGUCAAUGGGCGAGAGCCUGAACCAGCCAAGUCCGCGUGAAGGAAGAAGGAUCUAUGGUUCGUAAACUUCUUUUGCAGGGGAAUAAAGUGCGGGACGUGUCCUGUUUUGUAUGUACCCUGAGAAUAAGGAUCGGCUAACUCCGUGCCAGCCGCGGC